UUAAGCGACUAAGCGUACACGGUGGAUGCCCUGGCAGUCAGAGGCGAUGAAGGACGUGCUAAUCUGCGAUAAGCGUCGGUAAGGUGAUAUGAACCGUUAUAACCGGCGAUUUCCGAAUGGGGAAACCCAGUGUGUUUCGACACACUAUCAUUAACUGAAUCCAUAGGUUAAUGAGGCGAACCGGGGGAACUGAAACAUCUAAGUACCCCGAGGAAAAGAAAUCAACCGAGAUUCCCCCAGUAGCGGCGAGCGAACGGGGAGCAGCCCAGAGCCUGAAUCAGUGUGUGUGUUAGUGGAAGCGUCUGGAAAGGCGCGCGAUACAGGGUGACAGCCCCGUACACAAAAAUGCACAUGCUGUGAGCUCGAUGAGUAGGGCGGGACACGUGGUAUCCUGUCUGAAUAUGGGGGGACCAUCCUCCAAGGCUAAAUACUCCUGACUGACCGAUAGUGAACCAGUACCGUGAGGGAAAGGCGAAAAGAACCCCGGCGAGGGGAGUGAAAAAGAACCUGAAACCGUGUACGUACAAGCAGUGGGAGCACAGAGCAAUCUGUGUGACUGCGUACCUUUUGUAUAAUGGGUCAGCGACUUAUAUUCUGUAGCAAGGUUAACCGAAUAGGGGAGCCGAAGGGAAACCGAGUCUUAACUGGGCGUUAAGUUGCAGGGUAUAGACCCGAAACCCGGUGAUCUAGCCAUGGGCAGGUUGAAGGUUGGGUAACACUAACUGGAGGACCGAACCGACUAAUGUUGAAAAAUUAGCGGAUGACUUGUGGCUGGGGGUGAAAGGCCAAUCAAACCGGGAGAUAGCUGGUUCUCCCCGAAAGCUAUUUAGGUAGCGCCUCGUGAAUUCAUCUCCGGGGGUAGAGCACUGUUUCGGCAAGGGGGUCAUCCCGACUUACCAACCCGAUGCAAACUGCGAAUACCGGAGAAUGUUAUCACGGGAGACACACGGCGGGUGCUAACGUCCGUCGUGAAGAGGGAAACAACCCAGACCGCCAGCUAAGGUCCCAAAGUCAUGGUUAAGUGGGAAACGAUGUGGGAAGGCCCAGACAGCCAGGAUGUUGGCUUAGAAGCAGCCAUCAUUUAAAGAAAGCGUAAUAGCUCACUGGUCGAGUCGGCCUGCGCGGAAGAUGUAACGGGGCUAAACCAUGCACCGAAGCUGCGGCAGCGACGCUUAUGCGUUGUUGGGUAGGGGAGCGUUCUGUAAGCCUGCGAAGGUGUGCUGUGAGGCAUGCUGGAGGUAUCAGAAGUGCGAAUGCUGACAUAAGUAACGAUAAAGCGGGUGAAAAGCCCGCUCGCCGGAAGACCAAGGGUUCCUGUCCAACGUUAAUCGGGGCAGGGUGAGUCGACCCCUAAGGCGAGGCCGAAAGGCGUAGUCGAUGGGAAACAGGUUAAUAUUCCUGUACUUGGUGUUACUGCGAAGGGGGGACGGAGAAGGCUAUGUUGGCCGGGCGACGGUUGUCCCGGUUUAAGCGUGUAGGCUGGUUUUCCAGGCAAAUCCGGAAAAUCAAGGCUGAGGCGUGAUGACGAGGCACUACGGUGCUGAAGCAACAAAUGCCCUGCUUCCAGGAAAAGCCUCUAAGCAUCAGGUAACAUCAAAUCGUACCCCAAACCGACACAGGUGGUCAGGUAGAGAAUACCAAGGCGCUUGAGAGAACUCGGGUGAAGGAACUAGGCAAAAUGGUGCCGUAACUUCGGGAGAAGGCACGCUGAUAUGUAGGUGAAGUCCCUCGCGGAUGGAGCUGAAAUCAGUCGAAGAUACCAGCUGGCUGCAACUGUUUAUUAAAAACACAGCACUGUGCAAACACGAAAGUGGACGUAUACGGUGUGACGCCUGCCCGGUGCCGGAAGGUUAAUUGAUGGGGUCAGCGCAAGCGAAGCUCUUGAUCGAAGCCCCGGUAAACGGCGGCCGUAACUAUAACGGUCCUAAGGUAGCGAAAUUCCUUGUCGGGUAAGUUCCGACCUGCACGAAUGGCGUAAUGAUGGCCAGGCUGUCUCCACCCGAGACUCAGUGAAAUUGAACUCGCUGUGAAGAUGCAGUGUACCCGCGGCAAGACGGAAAGACCCCGUGAACCUUUACUAUAGCUUGACACUGAACAUUGAGCCUUGAUGUGUAGGAUAGGUGGGAGGCUUUGAAGUGUGGACGCCAGUCUGCAUGGAGCCGACCUUGAAAUACCACCCUUUAAUGUUUGAUGUUCUAACGUGGACCCGUAAUCCGGGUUGCGGACAGUGUCUGGUGGGUAGUUUGACUGGGGCGGUCUCCUCCUAAAGAGUAACGGAGGAGCACGAAGGUUGGCUAAUCCUGGUCGGACAUCAGGAGGUUAGUGCAAUGGCAUAAGCCAGCUUGACUGCGAGCGUGACGGCGCGAGCAGGUGCGAAAGCAGGUCAUAGUGAUCCGGUGGUUCUGAAUGGAAGGGCCAUCGCUCAACGGAUAAAAGGUACUCCGGGGAUAACAGGCUGAUACCGCCCAAGAGUUCAUAUCGACGGCGGUGUUUGGCACCUCGAUGUCGGCUCAUCACAUCCUGGGGCUGAAGUAGGUCCCAAGGGUAUGGCUGUUCGCCAUUUAAAGUGGUACGCGAGCUGGGUUUAGAACGUCGUGAGACAGUUCGGUCCCUAUCUGCCGUGGGCGCUGGAGAAUUGAGGGGGGCUGCUCCUAGUACGAGAGGACCGGAGUGGACGCAUCACUGGUGUUCGGGUUGUCAUGCCAAUGGCACUGCCCGGUAGCUAAAUGCGGAAGAGAUAAGUGCUGAAAGCAUCUAAGCACGAAACUUGCCCCGAGAUGAGUUCUCCCUGACUCCUUGAGAGUCCUGAAGGAACGUUGAAGACGACGACGUUGAUAGGCCGGGUGUGUAAGCGCAGCGAUGCGUUGAGCUAACCGGUACUAAUGAACCGUGAGGCUUAACCUU
rnacentral:rRNA from 1 species